rnacentral:rRNA from 1 species
CGUGACCCUAGGUCAGGUAGGGUUAGUCAUUGAGUUUAA